rnacentral:rRNA from 1 species
GACAGAGGCCUCGAGCGUUAGGCGGAAUCACUGGCUUAAAGCGUGUGUAGGCGGACGCCUAAGUACCUUGUGAAAUCCCACGGCUCACCCGUGGAACCGCUGGGUAUACUGGGCGUCUUGGGCCAUUCAAGGGCAACUGGAACAAGCGGUGGAGCGGUGAAAUGCGUAGAUAUCGCUUGGAACGCCGACGGUGAAAACAGGUUGCUGGGAAUGUGCCGACGCUGAGACACGAAAGCCAGGGAGCAAACGGG